rnacentral:rRNA from 1 species
GACGAACGCUGGCGGCGUGCUUAACACAUGCAAGUCGAACGGAAAGGCCCUGCUGUGGGUGGGUGCUCGAGUGACGAACGGGUGAGUAACACGUGAGUAACCUGCCCUUGACUUUGGGAUAACUUCAGGAAACUGGGGCUAAUACCGGAUAGGAGCUCCUGCUGCAUGGUGGGGGUUGGAAAGUUUCGGCGGUGGGGGAUGGACUCGCGGCUUAUCAGCUUGUUGGUGGGGUAGUGGCUUACCAAGGCUUUGACGGGUAGCCGGCCUGAGAGGGUGACCGGCCACAUUGGGACUGAGAUACGGCCCAGACUCCUACGGGAGGCAGCAGUGGGGAAUACUGCACAAUGGGCGGAAGCCUGAUGCAGCAACGCCGCGUGCGGGAUGACGGCCUUCGGGUUGUAAACCGCUUUCGCCUGUGACGAAGCGUGAGUGACGGUAAUGGGUAAAGAAGCACCGGCUAACUACGUG